AAUUUUCCCUGUUUUAAUUUACUGUUUCUUCCCAAUCUCUCUCUCGUCGUAAAGGUCGAAAAAAAACCCUCUUGCCACCGGUUCGCCACCGCCUGCGGCAAAUCCGCCUCUCUUGUCGCCGUGAAGUUUCCUGCCUGCGGUGUUUGGUUGUCUUCGAUCUCAAACUCUCGAUUAUACCGUCUGCUCUUUUAUUGUGUGGCACCUGGAAUCUCUAAAUUCUGAAGCCUCUCUUUGACCGACUUUGGUGAAAUACUCG
rnacentral:misc_RNA from 1 species